rnacentral:rRNA from 1 species
AUUGAACGCUGGCGGCAGGCUUAACACAUGCAAGUCGAGCGAGCGGCGGACGGGUGAGUAAUGUCUGGGAAACUGCCUGAUGGAGGGGGAUAACUACUGGAAACGGUAGCUAAUAACGCAUACCAUCAGAUGUGCCCAGAUGGGAGUGGCUAGUGGGUGGGGUAAUGGCUACCGUAGGCGACGAGCCCUAGAGGGUCUGAGAGGAUGACCAGCCACACUGGAACUGAGACACGGUCCAGACGCCUACGGGAGGCAGCAGUGGGGAAUAUUGCACAAUGGGCGCAAGCCUGAUGCAGCCAUGCCGAGUGUGUGAAGAAGGCCUUCGGGUUGUAAAGCACUUUCAGCGAGGAGGCGUUACUCGCAGAAGAAGCACCGGCUAACUCCGUGCCAGCCGCCGCGGUAAUUC